AAAAGCAUUGCAGCUGUCAAAUGAAAGUACAGAUGGAUCUAAAUUGAGAAGCAGUGGUCUUGCGGUGACCAAACAAGACAAGACAGGUACUGCCAACAAACUAUGCCGAGCAAAAUAAGAGUUAAAAUAUCAACCGCUUCAUUUCAUUUAGAUAGAUUACGAUUGGCCAUCUUAAAUGUCAUACUUAAUUGAACACCGGUACUUACAGGACAUUGAAAUCCUCAGCAAAAGACUUUUAGUAUUGAUUAUGCUUGGCUAUCUUAAACUACUAGAAAAGUAAGCCAGAGGUGGCAACUCUCAGAAACAAGUACCAAGGCGUAUAUGUGCUUUAUGACUAAAGCAGCAUAGCCAACGAGGGUAAUGUCGCAACACGUGAGGAACAAAUAUAUGGCUAUCUUAAACUACUAGAAAAGUAAGCCAGAGGUGGCAACUCUCAGAAACAAGUACCAAGGCGUAUAUGUGCUUUAUGACUAAAGCAGCAUAGCCAACGAGGGUAAUGUCGCAACACGUGAGGAACAAAUAUAUGGAGAAAUAACCUCAAU